CUCUGUCUCAAAAACAACAACAAAAACAACAACAAACAAACAAAAAUCCAAAAUGGACAGAGACUUCUAAAUGAACCCCCAGUGAUAUCAGACAGAUGAAAAGACUGUUUUUAUGUCAUAACAUGUUUAACGUGGAUGGCAGACAGGGCAUGGAUAUGAAAAGUCUUUUCUAAGGAAUGAUCAGGAUGGGAUUGGCAUGCAAUGACAGAUAUUUGGGUUUUGACUAUUCUCAGCUUCCUCUCCUAAAAAAAUAGUCGACUGCACUCAUUUAAUUCUACAACAGGGAUGCUCUUUGAAAAUAAAUUAUUUUAGAGGAUAUAAAAAAGAUUAAACCUUGAAAUUUCUUUGUUUUGUGCUCAUACAUCCUUCUCCUUCUCUUUUUCUGACCCCAGUGUGUGGGAACAGUGUAACCUGAACAAGAACGUAGUGUCUAUAGGAUGAGUGACACUUGGAAGCAGAGGCAGAGUGCUACAUGGACACCUGACUGUACCAAAUGGUUAUUGUGUUUUCUCAAUCAGACGCCAAUUGCGGAAUACCAGCUGAUAUUCUACCCUCAACUCAUGCUAAAAGCUUUCUAGUCUUUCUCAAGGAAACCUGUCCAAAGGGAUAUGUGAUCCCAGGAAUUAUUAUUGUAUAAGUAAUACUUGGAUGUUUUUACUAAUAGUUCACACAUUUCACAGCCCUUUGGUGGAGAGCCUUUUUCGUUAAUGUUCUGUUCAAGAAUAAUUGCAUAGUAUUUAUAAUCCUCUCAGGGAUUAAGUAUAGAUGUAAUACACAACUCAAAGAUGCUUGUUGAUGUUCACUUUGUAAAAAUUCAUCAAGUUGUAUACUUGAUAUUUGUGCACUUUCUGUGUUACAUAUUUUUUAAUUAAAUACUUAUAGAAACUAU
rnacentral:lncRNA from 1 species